rnacentral:rRNA from 1 species
UACGUAGGGGGCGAGCGUUGUCCGGAUUUAUUGGGCGUAAAGAGCGUGUAGGCGGCCAGGUAGGUCUGCUGUGAAAACUCGAGGCUCAACCUCGAGACGUCGGCGGAAACCAUCUGGUGCUAGAGUCCGGAAGAGGAGAGUGGAAUUCCUGGUGUAGCGGUGAAAUGCGCAGAUAUCAGGAAGAACACCGAUGGCGAAGGCAGCUCUCUGGGACGGUACUGACGCUGAGACGCGAAAGCGUGGGGAGCGAACAGG